rnacentral:lncRNA from 1 species
UCCCUCUUCUUCAACUUCGUGUCCUUCGUGCUAGUAAACAUUAAUAAGAAAAGAAGCAAACUAAAGAGAAAAGAUGAAAGUGUAUGAGAAGCUUAGUAAAAAUAAGAAUAGAAUACCUGUGGUUACAAAAUUAAAUAUAGGUUGUUAGCAAAAAGUUUUCUAUUAGAGAAAAAAUAGAAGGAAAGAAUUUGAAUUAGCCGAAAAAAGCACCUGAAUCGAAAAGAGUGACCAAAUAUUUUAUAUUAAAAAAUAGAUAUAUACAUAUACAAAUGUUGAUAAGUUUUGUAAAUUUUGGAGAGUAAAUAUAUACAUGAAAUAGAUACAUACACAGAGCUUCUAGACUCAAAAGCAGCAUACAUCCUCAAUCGUGUCUCUAAAAAACUAAGAAAAACAUGAAAUUCCAAAACAUUCGAUUAAGAAAAAUAAUAUUCAAGCGAAUCAGAUUCAUGAUAGCAAGACAAACCUUAAAAAUUAUAGCAAAUUAUUUGUACGUAUAAAUUAUAUAAAUUACAGAAAGAAACAUUUAUAUAUCAGCAAACUCUUUUAUUUUCUGAAAGUUGGUACAUCAACGGUUAACUAAUUAAAAUAAAUCGCAAGAAGAAGCAUUUAACACUAAGAUUAUCUAAAAUAUUUAAUUCAAGUGAGUCACAAGAAGCAUUAUUACAUCUCAGCAAGAUUAUCAAAUAAAUCACUAAAAUUAAUUGUAAACUACCAUCAGCCAAAGUAAUUGAAAUACAAAAGUAGACAACAAAAUCCACGAUCGACUAUAUAUUAAAAUAUUUUAAAUCGGUAGUCAUUGAAAUAAAAUUAUAUGCAUAUAAAAAAAAAGAAUAAAACAAAAUAGACUUAUUUAAUAAAGAUUUAUCACAGUAGAGUUUUUCUACCUACUGUUGGAAAAGGUGUCUCUCCAAAAUUCCGCUUCACUGCCGCAUCAAUAUUUCUUUUUUAAAAGAAAAUUCUAUUACUGAAAUAAUUUUAUUGAAUAUUUUUAAAAAUAAGUAAUAAUAAGGAUUAAAUAGAGUAAUUAUAUAUAAGUUAUAUUUUAAUAUUUAUGUAAAAUAUUAAAAAGUAUUUUAAUGAAACAAAAAUAAUAUUAUAUACGAAGAAAAAUUUAUUUAAUACACACCUCAUGUAAAAGAAGGUGAUAUGGAUAGAUCGACUAUACUAUAGUAAAGUCUAUAUAAAAUAUAGAUAGAUGGGCAUUAUUAUAGAAAAUAAAAUUGUUGGGCGUGAAUCUCUUGAUUAUGAUGAAAAAUUAAAAUGGCCGAAUUAAAUAAUUCGAGCUGAUAUAAUAAAUUAUAAAAUAAAAUUAUUUGCUAAAGAAUUAAUUUGGACCAAAAAGAAAGAAUACAACCAUAAACGAUAAACUCAACAAUUAAAAAAAAGGAAUAAUUAAAUAAUCUAACAAUUAAUUUAAGUAUAAACUAUGUAUAACAAUAAGAAAGAAUCCCUAAUCUAAAUCCAUCUAUACGCCCAAAUUUUAGGCGGCACCUUCUUCUUCUUCUUCUUCUUCACUCCGAAUUCUCGUGUGGAGGAAUUAAAUGUGACAAUCAUUUAUGAUAUUUUGACAGGACCAAAUUGAAGCAGAUAGAGGUGGAUUUAAAAAGGUGUUGUGAGACACUGAGAGAAGAGAAUAGGAGGUUGCAAAAAGAGCUUCAGGGAUUAAGGCGUCUCAGCCAUUUUACCUGCAGCUUCCGGCCACCACCCUCCAACCAUUUUUCAUGCUUCUUCCCAGAAGACACCUUCUUGAUCAUAGCAUCGCAUCUCUCUUGCCUAUCGCUCAUUCCUGCCUUCUACAUCAGCAACUGCAACACUGAAGUCUGCCACUCUGCCUCCGUGGCUCCUCCAUGGGGCAUAUCGCUCAUUGUGUAAUUUUUCCUAAAAUAAGUUAGAGAAGUAUGAAAUGGUAAAUGAAUGUGAUUUGGUAUUUAUAAAUUGUCAAUCCGGAUGUUUUGUUUGUAGCAGUUUGUUACCACUUUUUAGUAGUGGGUUGCUGCAGUUAUUUGCUAAUUGGCGUGGGUUGUUCAUUCAAGAAACAUGGUGGUUAUGGAAUGCAGAAGGGAUAAAAAUACGAUGGAAACUUGGUAUAAUGCGGCGUGGAAAAACUGAAUAAGAAAGAGAAGAUUUAGCGGUGUAAUAGAUAUAUAGAUUUGCCCUUUGUAUGUUAUUUUAUUUUCUAAAUUGCCACAAACUGUGUUUUCAUAUAAUAUAUAGAUUAUAAUUUCCACAUAAUUUUGUAAAGAGAAAAUGUAUACUACUACUAUUUUAGAACCAAAGUAUUAACGGAUUUCAAUUAUAGGCUACACUUUGACUAUUUACAAAAAUGAAUCUCAUAAAUUACACUUGAAACAAAUCAAGAUUCGACUUAACGUUAUUUCUCACCUUAUAUCUUGAAAAAAUAAAUACAAAGGAUGUGUAGAAAAACCUCUACAGCUUAAAUAAUCAGAAAUAACUUUUUACACGCUAUUUAUAUUUUUUCAAAAAUUAAAAUUAAUAGAAAUAUAAAGUCAAUUUAAAUUUCAACCGAGAUAGAUUUAUAAGAUUCAUUUUCGUAAAUACUCGAAGUAUGUAGUUUAGAAUUCGAAAUACGAGGAUAUUUUGGAUUCCAAAUUAUAUUUUUCUCCCCUCUUAAAAUGUUGCGAACUUGCGAUUAUAAAAAAGGUCUUUAUAGCCAUAAACUCAUGUGUUUGUCUAUUUUUUUUCAUUUUUUAGAUUUUCUAGACCCAACAACUAUUCUUGAGUUCAAUAACCCAAUUAAUGAACUGAUUAGAAUAAAGUAUAUUUAAAGUAUUUCCACUAAUUAAAUCUACUCAAAUGUUCUUAUAUUUAAUCUAUUUCUCAUUAGAGAUAUCGAAAAAAUGUCAACAAUUUUCCACGCGUCCAAAAUAUGGACUUGCAAAAGAUUUAAAAAUUACGAAAUACAUAGAUGAUUCUCUAACUAUUUUCCAGUAAUGCACAUUGUCUUUUUCCCAUUAAUUGCUCUUUCAUUCCCUCUUCUUCAACUUCGUGUCCUUCGUGCUAGUAAACAUUAAUAAGAAAAGAAGCAAACUAAAGAGAAAAGAUGAAAGUGUAUGAGAAGCUUAGUAAAAAUAAGAAUAGAAUACCUGUGGUUACAAAAUUAAAUAUAGGUUGUUAGCAAAAAGUUUUCUAUUAGAGAAAAAAUAGAAGGAAAGAAUUUGAAUUAGCCGAAAAAAGCACCUGAAUCGAAAAGAGUGACCAAAUAUUUUAUAUUAAAAAAUAGAUAUAUACAUAUACAAAUAGUUGAUAAGUUUUGUAAAUUUUGGAGAGUAAAUAUAUACAUGAAAUAGAUACAUACACAAAGCUUCUAGACUCAAAAGCAGCAUACAUCCUCAAUCGUGUCUCUAAAAAACUAAGAAAAACAUGAAAUUACCAAACAUUCGAUUAAGAAAAUAAUAUCAAGCGAAUCAGAUCAUGAUAGCAAGACAACCUUAAAAAUUAUAGCAAAUUAUUUGUACGUAUAAAUUAUAUAAAUUACAGAAGAAACAUUUAUAUAUCAGCAAACUCUUUUAUUUUCUGAAAGUUGGUACAUCAACGGUUAACUAAUUAAAAUAAAUCGCAAGAAGAAGCAUUUAACACUAAGAUUAUCUAAAAUAUUUAAUUCAAGUGAGUCACAAGAAGCAUUAUUACAUCUCAGCAAGAUUAUACAAAUAAAUCACUAAAAUUAAUUGUAAACUACCAUCAGCCAAGUAAUGAAAUACAAAAGUAGACACAAAAUCCACGAUCGACUAUAUAUUAAAAUAUUUUAAAUCGGUAGUCAUUGAAUAAAAUUAUAUGCAUAUAAAAAAAAGAAUAAAACAAAAUAGACUUAUUUAAUAAAGAUUUAUCACAAUAGAGUUUUUCUACCUACUGUUGGAAAAGGUGUCUCUCCAAAAUUCCGCUUCACUGCCGCAUCAAUAUUUACUUUUUUAAAAGAAAAUUCUAUUACUGAAAUAAUUUUAUUGAAUAUUUUUAAAAAUAAGUAAUAAUAAGGAUUAAAUAGAGUAAUUAUAUAUAAGUUAUAUUUUAAUAUUUAUGUAAAAUAUUAAAAAGUAUUUUAAUGAAACAAAAAUAAUAUUAUAUACGAAGAAAAAUUUAUUUAAUACACACCUCAUGUAAAAGAAGGUGAUAUGGAUAGAUCGACUAUACUUUAUUAAAGUCUAUAUAAAAAAUAGAUAGAUGGGCAUUAUUAUAGAAAAUAAAAUUGUUGGGCGUGAAUCUCUUGAUUAUGAUGAAAAAUUAAAAUGGCCGAAUUAAAUAAUUCGAGCUGAUAUAAUAAAUUAUAAAAUAAAAUUAUUUGCUAAAGAAUUAAUUUGGACCAAAAAGAAAGAAUACAACCAUAAACGAUAAACUCAACAAUUAAAAAAAAAGGAAUAAUUAAAUAAUCUAACAAUUAAUUUAAGUAUAAACUAUGUAUAACAAUAAGAAAGAAUCCCUAAUCUAAAUCCAUCUAUACGCCCAAAUUUUAGGCGGCACCCCCUUCUUCUUCUUCUUCUUCUUCACUCCGAAUUCUCGUGUGGAGGAAUUAAAUGUGACAAUCAUUUAUGAUAUUUUGACAGGACCAAAUUGAAGCAGAUAGAGGUGGAUUUAAAAAGGUGUUGUGAGACACUGAGAGAAGAGAAUAGGAGGUUGCAAAAAGAGCUUCAGGGAUUAAGGCGUCUCAGCCAUUUUACCUGCAGCUUCCGGCCACCACCCUCCAACCAUUUUUCAUGCUUCUUCCCAGAAGACACCUUCUUGAUCAUAGCAUCGCAUCUCUCUUGCCUAUCGCUCAUUCCUGCCUUCUACAUCAGCAACUGCAACACUGAAGUCUGCCACUCUGCCUCCGUGGCUCCUCCAUGGGGCAUAUCGCUCAUUGUGUAAUUUUUCCUAAAAUAAGUUAGAGAAGUAUGAAAUGGUAAAUGAAUGUGAUUUGGUAUUUAUAAAUUGUCAAUCCGGAUGUUUUGUUUGUAGCAGUUUGUUACCACUUUUUAGUAGUGGGUUGCUGCAGUUAUUUGCUAAUUGGCGUGGGUUGUUCAUUCAAGAAACAUGGUGGUUAUGGAAUGCAGAAGGGAUAAAAAUACGAUGGAAACUUGGUAUAAUGCGGCGUGGAAAAACUGAAUAAGAAAGAGAAGAUUUAGCGGUGUAAUAGAUAUAUAGAUUUGCCCUUUGUAUGUUAUUUUAUUUUCUAAAUUGCCACAAACUGUGUUUUCAUAUAAUAGAUAGAUU